rnacentral:rRNA from 1 species
GGGCCCGCACAAGUAGUGGAGCAUGUGGUUUAAUUCGAAGAUACGCGCAGAACCUUACCAACACUUGACAUGUUCGUCGCGACUUUAAGAGAUUAAAGUUUUCGGUUCGGCCGGACGAAACACAGGUGCUGCAUGGCUGUCGUCAGCUCGUGUUGUGAGAUGUUGGGUUAAGUCCCGCAACGAGCGCAACCCUUAUCCUUGUUUGCCAGCGAGUAAUGUCGGGAACUCCAGGGAGACUGCCGGUGAUAAACCGGAGGAAGGUGGGGACGACGUCAAGUCAUCAUGGCCCUUACGAGUAGGGCUACACACGUGCUACAAUGGUAGUGACAAUGGGUUAAUCCCAAAAAGCUAUCUCAGUUCGGAUUGUCGUCUGCAACUCGACGGCAUGAAGUCGGAAUCGCUAGUAAUCG